rnacentral:rRNA from 1 species
UACGUAGGGGGCUAGCGUUGUCCGGAAUCAUUGGGCGUAAAGCGCGCGUAGGCGGCCCGGUAAGUCCGCUCUGAAAGUCCAGGGCUCAACCCUGGAAAGCGGGUGGAUACUGCCGGGCUAGAAUCCGGAAGAGGCGAGUGGAAUUCCUGGUGUAGCGGUGGAAUGCGCAGAUAUCAGGAGGAACACCAAUAGCGAAGGCAGCUCGCUGGGACGGUAUUGACGCUGAGGCGCGAAAGCUAGGGGAGCAAACGGG